rnacentral:ncRNA from 1 species
GAAAAAAAUUUAGUAAAAUGUGAGAUAUUUUACUCGGCCCAAGCAAAAGUGAACCUUUUGCUAAACACCAUCAAAUUGCGGGAAACCCUUAAAGCUAUUUUAACUAAGUAUAUUAGGUAACUAAUAUAUGGCUCAGGUAAUGACUCGAGGUAUAGUAAAAUAAAAAUAGAUGCACGAAAGGAAAUAGGAAAUCCGCAGCCAAGUACCUUGGAUCGCUUGCUGACUUCGUAAGCUUGCGCGGUCCCCUCCGCCCUUCGGCCUAGCACAGCUACGCCUGGGCUGCGCAAGCUAAGGGGGAAAAAGAAAAACCAUGGUAUGCAGUUCAUCGACUAAAUGGUGGUGGGUGUUAUUAUUAUUAAUAAUGCUUAAAUUAUAGUCAGACCCUAUUUGAAAAAAUACA